CACGUAGGGACCGAGCGUUGUCCGGAUUCAUUGGGCGUAAAGAGCUCGUAGGCGGCCGCUCAAGUCGAAUGUGAAAACUCGAGGCUCAACCUCGAGCCUGCAUUCGAUACUGGGUGGCUAGAGUCUGGUAGGGGGAUCUGGAAUUCCUGGUGUAGCGGUGGAAUGCGCAGAUAUGCGGAGGAACACCGAUGGCGAAGGCAAUCCCCUGGGCCUGCACUGACGCUCAUGCACGAAAGCGUGGGGAGCAAACAGG
rnacentral:rRNA from 1 species